CCUACGGGAGGCAGCAGUGGGGAAUAUUGCACAAUGGGGGAAACUCUGAUGCAGCGACGCCGCGUGAGUGAAGAAGUAUUUCGGUAUGUAAAGCUCUAUCAGCAGGGAAGAAGCAAGACGGUACCUGACUAAGAAGCCCCGGCUAACUACGUGCCAGCAGCCGCGGUAAUACGUAGGGGGCAAGCGUUAUCCGGAUUUACUGGGUUGAAAGGGAGCGUAGACGGUAUGGCAAGUCUGAAGUGAAAGCCCAGGGCUUAACCCUGGGACUGCUUUGGAAACUGUUAGACUAGAGUGCUGGAGAGGUAAGUGGAAUUCCUAGUGUAGCGGUGAAAUGCGUAGAUAUUAGGAGGAACACCAGUGGCGAAGGCGGCUUACUGGACAGUAACUGACGUUGAGGCUCGAAAGCGUGGGGAGCAAACAGGAUUAGAUACCCCGGUAGUC
rnacentral:rRNA from 1 species